rnacentral:rRNA from 1 species
AUGAACGCUGGCGGCGUGCCUAAUACAUGCCAGUCGAGCGAACGGACGAGAAGCUUGCUUCUCUGAUGUUAGCGGCGGACGGGUGAGUAACACGUGGAUAACCUACCUAUAAGACUGGGAUAACUUCGGGAAACCGGAGCUAAUACCGGAUGAUAUUUUGAACCGCAUGGUUCAAAAGUGAAAGACGGUCUUGCUGUCACUUAUAGAUGGAUCCGCGCUGCAUUAGCUAGUUGGUAAGGUAACGGCUUACCAAGGCAACGAUGCAUAGCCGACCUGAGAGGGUGAUCGGCCACACUGGAGCUGAGACACGGUCCAGACUCCUACGGGAGGCAGCAGUAGGGAAUCUUCCGCAAUGGGCGAAAGCCUGACGGAGCAACGCCGCGUGAGUGAUGAGGGUCUUCGGAUCGUAAAACUCUGUUAUUAGGGAAGAACAUAUGUGUAAGUAACUGUGCACAUCUUGACGGUACCUAAUCAGAAAGCCACGGCUAACUACGU